CGGCGGCGGUAGCAGUGCGGCCCCUUUAAGAGGCCGAGGGGCGCGGCGACCGGGACACGCCCCCGCCCUUAAAGGCGCCGUGUCCGCUCGGAGGAGCCGGCGGGGUCUGUGCUGCGGUCGUGGCGCCACGUGCGCAGCGCGGGACGGUCUUUUAUAAGUUGUUUAUGCGUUUACCAGGCGUGAUCGUUGUUGUUCGAGGAAGGCGUGUCUUCGCGUGUUAUGACGGACCUUGUCGUGUGUUUACGUUUUUACGUGUAUUAAUAAGAAAACGAGAACAGCCCCACGCGCGAGCCGCGGGCGUCCGGGCCCAGGAUGCUGGCAGGCGUGAGCCCCCCGCACGACGAGCCAGGCGCAGGGCAGGCGGCAGCUCCGCGGUCCCCCGGGCGGGCGGUGUCCGGGCCGGAGCCGGGACGCGGCGCGGCGCGGAGGGGCGGCAGGACGUGCCAGGCAGGCCCCCGCGCCUCCCCGCAGGGCAGCUCCGUGCUCUGGACAGCGCAGUCAUCCCCGACCGCCCGCUGCCGCCCGCUACGUCUAAACUCCUUGCGCAAGACGAUGCCGCCGCCCGCCUCACGGACAGCGGCGUGGUCUGGCCCGUGCUCCCGCCACCCCAGCUGCAGGAAGGAGGAGCCACUUUGCAACCUCUCUGGGCUGUUGCAGCUGCUGAAUCCUAGAUAAACCCGCCGAGAGCCCUUCUGCACUAAAGGUCGGACAGGCAACAGCCCUUCCAACGGCCGGCUGGGACCAGGGGAAAUGCUUGAGGGCCAGGAGUAAAAGCGCUGAGGGGUAUGCGUACCCCAUGGCCUCCCUAAGCCCAUAGGCACGUGAUGGGGCAGGGGUGGGCGAGCCCUCUUGGUUCUUUAGCAGUUUUCAACUCUCAGGAAGUAAGGGGACGCUGCUUUCAUCAGCUGUGAAUCUGGGAAGCACCACAGGCUAGCACAUAAAGACAAGAGUCUGCCUCCAGACCCUGAUACUGCAAGUGACUCCAUAUGGACAAGUCCUUGCAUCACACCAGGCCUUGCUUUAUCUGCUUGCAUAACCAGGUGUAAUAAUUCCUGUCUCCUGAGGGUGUUGCAAAGCUUAAUUUGUUAAUGUUUGCAAAGUGCUUGGCAAUCAGAAAAGCAAAAUAUCAUCAUCUGACGGAACUCAUUUUACCGGAGCGGCACUGAAAGAAUCCAAGAUGCAAUCACUACCUUCCACUGCUUUUGUUUUGUUUCUGCUUUUAGGCAAUUGGUCUGCACAGACUUAAGCUGACAGGCAGCUAAAUAUUUGGUCAUCAUUUGGUACACAUCAGUAGAUGCUUACUGAAACCCAGGGGCUCUGCUGACAUAUCAGCUAAAGAUCAGACUGUCUAUAUUGUAGACGGAGCUCACUAUUUUAUGAUGCUUUCAGCUAUUUCAGUUGCUCUUAAUGAAUGUUACCCAGCAGCGCUUUCAAACUUCCUGACAAAAUCAUCACGUGACCAGUGGAGUGUGAUCAAAGCAAGGAGGGGAACGGAAUACAAAUCCAGGCCAGUGAUUCAGUUUCUCACUGAAAUAAACUGAAGAGCUUCUCAAACCAGGAUUAAAUUUAGCUUCUGUGAGUACAUCUACCCAAGACAUUUACUGGGGAGUAGACUAAUUAGCUCUGCAGUACACAUCUCAGCAUCUACACGUUUGGCCUUAUUAGGCUGCAGGAAACUAACAAGCUUCACAGCUGGUUAGUACUUAUAAAUACAAGUAUUAUCCUGUUGUGGAGUUUUUUCAUGUAUAACAGUGCAUGUGCGGAUGCUGACCCAGGUGGUUGGGGCAUGAGACUGCUUCAGUCCAGAGGUAGCCUGCCAGUUAGCCCUGUACUGGAGCACCCUUAUGCCCCUGCCAGCCCUUCUGCAGCACAUCGAGCUGGGUCAGAGCAGUGCCAGGCCAUAGGCCCCUUGCCAGCUGGGACCGCUCCAACUUGGCUCAAUGUGCUGAGGUCCUGAGCACUUGUAUAAACAGUCACUCAGGAGCAAUAAAAUCUGCCGGGAUAUGCAUUAAUAUACAUGUGUAGAUGUGUCCAAUACGUAGCAACUCCGGAUAGAUGGAUGCAUACAAAGAUGGUAGCCCUCAUCUUUCAAACACACCCAGGUUAGCUAGGCACUGGUGGCAGAGAUUGUAGGUAAGCUAGUGAUCAGCAGGGAUCCUGGUUUUCUCUGAUUUAAAAAAAUUCCCAAUUUUCGGUUAAAAAAAAAAGUAAUCCCAAAUCCACAUUUUUCCAUGAUUUAAAUGAAAUGUCACUAAUAUAUAGGUAUGUAUAUAGUGGGGUUUCAUUUUGAUCAUGGAAAAAUGUGGAUUUGUGGUUACUUUUUUUAAACUGAAAAUUGGGGAUUUUUUUUAAUCAGAGAAAACCAGGAUCCCUGGUGAUCAGUAGGUAAGGUGCUUGGCUGAUUGCAGAGGGUAGUUAGCAAGAGAGGGUCCCAUUGACACCCAGAUAAAAUAAUCCCCAUAAAAGAAAAACCUCCAUGUCAUUCACCAGACACUUCCUUUGUGGGGAAGACAGAUGGGAGUAGGUAUGGGGGGAAGUUUCUGUGGAUCCCAUCAGUUCCGUAUGGAUCAUGGGGAAUCGGUAUAAGACAUGUUGCCCCCUGGAUCCUGCUGGUCCCUGGAGAGCAUUGUCGAUGCACCAGCUGUGCUUCUAGAAGCAAGCUCAAUCAUGGCUGCCCCAGAGCCCUAUUAAAGUGGUACCACAUAAUUGCUUUUCAGCCUUUUGGCUAAAAUCAAGUGUGACAGGGGCACCUGAACUUCCAGUCCUAGGACUGCAUGUAGGAUGCCAGUCUGGAUAUAGGGAACAUCUGAACUCCGAGGCCUGCAGGCCUAGGACGUUAGAUACUGGCCUGGUUGAAGUUAUAUUGGCAAUGGAUACCAGUAGGCACAGUUAUUGAGCUUUUCUCAGUUGGAUUUGGAAUUUAAUUGGCUAUUGGAAAUAAAUAAAUAAAUAUAUAUGGAAAUAUAUGUAUGUAUACAUAAGGUGGUGCCCCAUAGCACAGAAUGAGAAACAGUAUAAGUAAAUAGCCUAAGGUGAAUUUCUGUCCUUGGCCCCAGCUCACUCUACAGAGUCUCCCAUGGAGCCAGAAUUUAGGAGCAAAGCGUGCAGGGUCAUGGUGCGAAGGUGAGCAUCAUCUCCCUCCACACCUGGCUCUGGAGGGAUGCAUGCAGUCUCAGGCAAAGACAUAUUUUGGGAGCAAAUUGAGCUCCAUUGCCACUCGCAUUCAAACACACCUUGUUCAGACUCCGUUAUCUCUGAGGGGGCAACAAAUUUAACUUCUCCAGGCCCUGUGACACCCACUGGAAAAUCAAAGGCACUAACUGGCUCCAGCUGACUGAAGGGUUCCCCUGUACAAAGGCCAUGUGUUUCAUCAUAUACCAAGAGAGAACUGUGUCUGCUUGCAUGCAUGAGCUGUUGCAUGAGAAAGGGGCCCCUUCUAGAUCCGGUCCUAUUUGAGCUGACAGUGGUCUUGGGUAAUUUCACUGCUCAAAAUCACGGUCUUGUUCUAUUGCAUUGACAUAACUGACUUGGAUUUGUGUCUCAUCUUAAAGGCUGAGUCUAUUUUACUCCAGACUAUGCCCAGGAAUAGGGGGGUGAGGAACAGAUCAGCUCCCCCUUUACACAGAUCACUUCUAAUCUCCCUGCAUGAAGGAAGUAAAAGGCAUUUGAAACAGAAGAAAGGAAAUUGUUUUUCAUACUGUGCAUACUUAAGUGUGGAACUCACUGCCACAAGGUACCUGGAGAACAAGAGAAUUCACAGCAGAACAUCCCCUGUUAUAUUAGAUUAAAAAAUUACAAGGGCUGUUACCUCUCAAGCAUCGGAGAUUGGGGCAAACUCUGGCUGAUGAGAGUGAGGAAGAAAAUGGUGCAGUUAGUUUGUAGUUUUCUACCCUGGGAUUUCUCCUUGAAGUAUCUGCUGCUGAUCAGUGCCAGGAACAGAGGGAGGGGAGCCAUCAGUGUGAUUGCAGAGAAGCUCAGCUUGGCUUAGCAGAGAACUCUUCAGUGAGCUUAAACACAAAAAGGAAGCUUAAAAGAAGUGGAAGCUUGGACAGUUGACUAGGGAGGAAUAUAUUCUUAUAUUGCUUGGGCAUGCAGGGAUGAAAUCAGGAAGGCCAGAGCACAAUUGAAAAAUCUUGCCUGAUUUUAGGCAGGGUAAUGAUUUGCUGGGCCUCAAGUUACUGCAGGGGAAAGGAAAUUAGUAGCAACAAUACCCUGUGGUUCCCUUUCAUUCAGGGCUCUUGAAGGUGAGUAAAGUAUCAUCAUCUCUCUUUAGACUAAUGGGAAACCAAGGUGCAAAGCAGUGAAGUGACUUGUCUAAGGUCAUAUCAUAAGUCAGUGGCAGAGCUUGCAUUUGGCUUGGCUCUCCUGACUUCCAGUUUCUUAUUAUAAAUGCUAGAUGCUGCUGCCUGGACUUCUCUGUCCCAGCCCCCUGGGUUGUGAGAGAACUACGCCUCCACAGCGCAGCCCAGGCAAGGCUGACUUGCAGUUUCUUGUUCAGACUCAACCAGAAGAUGCUUAGUCACUGCCCUUUUGAUCAGGUGCUGCCUGGCUUUGCCUCAGAGGAGAGCCAGGUUCAGAGGUGACCUUGGGAAUUCCUGCUUCUCCAGGCAGUGAGGUGCUGGAGCCUCAUGAAGGUGACACUAGUGACUGUUUUUUUAGGGCAAGGUGCAUUUCCCUGCGCUCAUGGGCACCCUCUAGUGUCCAUCGCAGCAUUGCAGGCAGUUGCCAAGUAGGGGGACAGGGAAGGAGUCAAAUGAGGGGUAGAGACGAGUCCUGGUGAGGAGCCAGGGGAUACCCUGAAGAAUUAGGGUUUGGACCAGCUGUCAGCCCAUGUCACGAAGCCAGGCUGAUGGGAGUGGGGGGUUGUAUGCAGAAAGAGAUGCCCCAUGUGUCCUGGUCUGCCUGGUGAGGGCAAAGGCAAAGCCCAGCCCAUGCUAAGGAUGCCAGAGCCUAGUCUCCUGACAACGCAUGUGAGCUUGUUCCUGUUUGCUGAGGCCUUUGUAUUUUGAUGGGUGUCCUGAAAAGCAGGAGAUGUUUUAACCUGGCCUGACAGAGCACAGAGCUGGGGUCAUGUGGAUCCCCUCAGUGCCAGGUGCUGCACAUGGGGGAGUCCCUGGCCAGGUUUGGGGGUGAAGGAAUGCAGGCAGAAGUGGACAGCAACCUGGAGAGUAAAGGCACAGCAUGCCAGAGCUCCCACUGGAAGUAUUCACUGCCUUUCUAACUGGAUGGUUCACCCAGAUGGAGUAAGAAAGGCCACUGGUCCAGGAUCUGAGAGACCUGGGUCCUUGCUGUGCCAGGGCUGCGGUGUGACUUCAGGCAAGUCACAGUCAGGGCUAAUCACCAUGGGUAAUAUUAUCUUCCCUCAAAGGGCUGUUGUGAAGCUAAAACCCGUUUGGGAUGAUGUGGCCAGUGAUAACUCCAGGGCUUUAUCUGGACAGACACAGGAACAUACCUGGGUGGGGGCUGCCAGCAGGGUGGGCUGGGCAAAACUACCUACAGGGAAUGUUGCCUGAUUGGCCCUUUGCUGCAGGAGAAGCUGUGAGUGAUCUGAGAUUCAUGUGUUGAUUUCUUUGGGAUGGGGAGUGAGGCAAGGGAUGACAACUUGGAAUUGUUGUAAUGUGACGUGCCGGAAACAUCACAAGAAACAGAAGGAAGUGUUUUCAUGCAGACGAGUACAGCACACACCUGAUAUGGAAAAAGCACAGAAUUUACCAGCUUAUUGCAGGGAUGACAAGCUAGGCUAAGGGCAGCCUUUGAAGUUCCUGAUAGAGUCCCUGAUGUGAAGGGAGUACCUAGAAAAGAGAUUGCAAAACUGACAACAGGGUGGCUGAAUUACAUGGUGAACUGGUGAAUGCUGAGUACCUCAACUCCCCUGGUUCCAGUUAGAUCUGAGGGUGCUCCACACCAGACAGGAUCAGGACCCCCGUGCAGAUGCCAAAAGACAAUGCCCAGCUGCAGGCAGGAAGUUGUCGGGGUGUUUGUAAUCCUUCCCACCAGACCUGCAUUUGGGAUACGCACCAAGGAGACUGUGUUCCUGGCUGAUGAUGAAAUAAAGCUGGUGAAGUGAGAGUUGAAGGAUAAAGCUGUUGUCUAUGGCCCUGAUCCCAUGAUGAGCCACCAGUCAGCUUGGCUGUAGCAGGCCUGGAUGUUGCUCCCCUGGUCAAUGGAAGUUGGUGGAACCAGGACUGCGUUUUUCAAGUCUGGGAUUCUGGGCUUCCUCUGUCCAGCUAAUGUUGGCUCUCAGGGCAUCACCUAGAGGAGGAGGAAUCUGAGACUCCAUUGUCAUGUUUUAAUGUCUCCCCAUAUAUUGCCAGUCCCUGAAGGUGGGAAAGAGGUCAAGGACAAGGAUCGAAAAUCAAGACUCCCGGUCCUUGUCCUUACCUUUCUUAUCACUGACUCCUUCCUACCACUGACUCCUUAGCUGAUUUCAAGCAAGUCACUUAAUUCACCCCAGCCUCAGUUUCCCCAUCCUAAAGAAUUCCGGCUUUGGAAGGGGUGUUGAGAUCCUCAGACAAAAGUCCCUGUACACAGGCAUCAUUUGGUUAAUUAUUAAUAAUUCAGUAUUUAGCUUCAACUCUUAGGCUGACUGUGUGCUGUGACCACUGCCUGUUGUGCUAACCAGGAUGGUCUCUGUCUCCCUGUGCUCCCCUGCCUGUCUGCCUGUCCCUUGUCUACCUAUUCGGUGUUACAUUUAGAUUAGAAGUUCCUUGAGCCAGGAGCCAUCUCUGAUCUGUGUUUGUACAGUGCUUGGCGCAGCAGGGUCCAUGCCUGGUGCUACCAUGAGAAGGAAAAGAAUGAUGAUAAAAUA